CCUACGGGAGGCAGCAGUGGGGAAUAUUGGACAAUGGGCGCAAGCCUGAUCCAGCCAUGCCGCGUGUGUGAAGAAGGCCUUUUGGUUGUAAAGCACUUUAAGCGAGGAGGAGGCUACUUGGAUUAAUACUCUAGGAUAGUGGACGUUACUCGCAGAAUAAGCUCCAGCUAACUCUGUGCCAGCAGCCGCGGUAAU
rnacentral:rRNA from 1 species